rnacentral:rRNA from 1 species
GACGAACGCUGGCGGCGUGCCUAAUACAUGCAAGUUGAGCGCUGAAGGUUGGUACUUGUACCGACUGGAUGAGCAGCGAACGGGUGAGUAACGCGUGGGGAAUCUGCCUUUGAGCGGGGGACAACAUUUGGAAACGAAUGCUAAUACCGCAUAAAAACUUUAAACACAAGUUUUAAGUUUGAAAGAUGCAAUUGCAUCACUCAAAGAUGAUCCCGCGUUGUAUUAGCUAGUUGGUGAGGUAAAGGCUCACCAAGGCGAUGAUACAUAGCCGACCUGAGAGGGUGAUCGGCCACAAUGGGACUGAGACACGGCCCAAACUCCUACGGGAGGCAGCAGUAGGGAAUCUUCGGCAAUGGACGAAAGUCUGACCGAGCAACGCCGCGUGAGUGAAGAAGGUUUUCGGAUCAUAAAACUCUGUUGGUAGAGAAGAACGUUGGUGAGAGUGGAAAGCUCAUCAAGUGACGGUAACUACCCAGAAAGGGACGGCUAACUACGUG